CGCCAACACAUCAAGCGUCAUCAAUAGCGUGGUCUAUGGUGCAAUGCUAUCACUGGAGUAAGGCGUUUACCUUCAAUUCGGGUAGCGUCAUGAUUGGCCUACCCUGAUGGCGUCAUGAUCGCUGCUGAUUGCCUUUCAAAUAGGUUUUCAGCAUUCUGCUUACACCUUUGGCAUAGAGUCACAUAUUUCACAAUCCAACAUCAAUUGGUACCAACAGCAGCCCUUCUCUCCAUCAUCCAGAAGGGUCUGAG